UACGAGGGGGGCAAAUGUUGUUCGGAAUCACUGGGCGUAAAGGGUGCGUAGGCGGGUUUUUAAGUCAGGUGUUUAAUCCCGGGGCCCAACCCCGGACAGGCACUUGAAACUGGGAAUCUUGAAUAGUGGAGAGGUCAGUGGAAUUGGGGGUGUAGCGGUGGAAUGCGUAGAGAUCCCCAAGAACACCCGUUGCGAAGGCGGCUGACUGGACACAUAUUGACGCUGAGGCACGAAAGCGUGGGGAGCAAACAGG
rnacentral:rRNA from 1 species